GGCUUAUGCCUGCACCAUCGACCGACCAUGAUCUUCUGUGAAAGGUUUGAGUACGAGCAUACCUGUUGGGACCCGAAAGAUGGUGAACUAUGCCUGAGCAGGGCGAAGCCAGAGGAAACUCUGGUGGAGGCUCGUAGAUGUGCUGACGUGCAAAUCGCUUUUCGGACUUGGGUAUAGGGGCGAAAGACUACUAGUAGCUGGUUCCCUCCGAAGUUUCCCCCAGGAUAGCUGGAGCUUGAUCAGUUUUAUCGGGUAAAGCGAAUGAUUAGAGGUACCGGGGAUGAAACAUCCUCGACCUAUUCUCAAACUUUAAAUAGGUAAGACGUCUGGGUUGCUUAAUUGAACCCAGGCAUUCAAUGAGAGCUCCAAGUGGGCCAUUUUUGGUAAGCAGAAC
rnacentral:rRNA from 1 species